UUGACGGUACCCUACUAGAAAGGAGCCGCUAACUUCGUGCCAGAAGCGUCGGUAAUACGGGGGCUCCAAGCGUUAUCCGGUGUUAUUGGGCGUAAAGAGUCGUGUAGGUGGUUGGGUAAGUUAUCUUUCAAAUAUCUUUGCUUAACAAAGAGGAGGGGGAUAAUACUGCUCGACUAGAAUUUUCUCAAGGGAGAUCGGAACUGAGGGAGGAGUAGUGAAAUGCGUUGAUACCCUCGGGAACACCAGUGGCGUAGGCGGAUCUCUGGGAGAAGAUUGACACUGGGACACGAAAGCUAGGGGAGCGAAGCAGAUUAGAGACCUGCGUAGUCCUAGCCGUAAACGCAUGCUUGCUAGCUGCAUGAAUCUACCUUCGGGUGGUAUCGUGUGGCGAAGGUAACCCGUUAAGCAAGCCGCCUGGAAAGUACGGCCGCAAGGCUGAAAUUCAAAGGAAUUGGCGGGGAGGCACACAACCAGUGGAACAUGUGGUUUAAUUCGAGACUAACCGAAGAACCUCACCAGGGUUUGACAUGUAGCUGCACGUCUUAAGAAAUUAAGACUCUCUUGAAGGUGCUACACAGGUGCUGCAUGGCUGUCGUCAGCUCGUUCCGUGAGGAGUGCCCUUAAGUGGGACAACGAGCGCAACCCCUAUUACAUGUUAGAAAUGUCAUGUAAGACUGCCUUGCCAUUUGGCGGGGAGGAAGGAGGGGCAGACGUCAAGUCCGCAUGGUCCUUAUGCCCUGGGCUACACACAUGUUACAAUGAGUACGGCAAUGAGUCUGUCGCGAGCACGUAAGUGUAAGCUAAUCUCUUAAAUGUACUCUCAGUGGGGAUUGAGGUCUGCAACUCGACCUCAUGAACACGGAAUUGGUAGUAAUCGCGGGUCAGCUAUACCGCGGUGAUACGUUCUUGCCUCUUGCACACACCGCCCGUCAAACCAGCAAAGU
rnacentral:rRNA from 1 species